rnacentral:lncRNA from 1 species
AUUUUUCUGUCACAGAUGGACUUGGGGCCUUAUACAUGAAGACAGUGCUCACAAGUGAACGACUUCUCUGUUCAUAGAAAGUUGGGUCUUUUCCAUCUAUUCCCUAGUCAGCUAAGUAACACUGGCUACAAUAUUUCCAUAGGAGGGACAGGCAAAGGAGUGAUUGUCUUUCUCUCUCGAGUCGAUGUUUGUUUUCUGCUCCCACAGUUCUUACUUUCCCUCUAGGUGUGUGGGAAUGCCCUCAUGAAGCAGUACCAGGUCCAGUUCUGGAAGAUGAUCCUUCUCAUCAAAGAGGACUACUUCCCCAGAAUUGAAGCCAUCACGAGCUCAGGACAGAUGGGUUCCUUCAUACGUCUGAAGCAGUUCUUGGAGAAAUGUCUGCAACGCAGGGAGAUCCCUGUCCCUAAAGGCUUUCUGACGCCCUCCUUCUGGCGCUCUUGAUGUCCUCCAUCAUGUUGUGUGGCAGAAGGGGCAACAAUAAAGCAACUGAGACAGCGGGUUUGGAAGA